UUGGUUUACAAAACGUGAUUGUGUAUUACGUACACGAUCGAUUGAGGCUGUCGCGUCGUUGUUUCCAGCAAACUAACGUGCGUCCCUCGAAGUGCAGCGCGUUCGACGCUCUUGUCGUGCGAACAAGGCCCAAAGAAUUUUGUCCUUGCCAGCGCGACGUCUGUCGUUCGUCCCUUUAUUAUAAUCUCUUAACCU
rnacentral:rRNA from 1 species